rnacentral:lncRNA from 1 species
GGUUCAUACUUAAUUUUUUAUUUUAUUAAAAUAAAAUAAGAGUCGCAGGAGGAUGAUCCGACGUAUCUAUUUUUUUUGAGUGUGACCAUAUAGCUCUAUUUUUAUUAAAAAAUAUUUGAUUUGAAAUUGAAUUUAGAUAAAUAAAUAAUUUUUUUUUGUCAUACAGAUGGGUUCAACGGAUAAGUAUGUUAUUUUAGUACCACG